UAUCUAUGAUGUGGGCAAGCACUUAGGAGAUCCUUAAACAUCUCUCAGCAUUAGAAGAAGGUUUCUUCAUUUUUCUGAGAGCAAUUCAUAAUGGCCCUUCUAAGGGA